rnacentral:rRNA from 1 species
UACGAAGGGGGCUAGCGUUGUUCGGAUUAACUGGGCGUAAAGGGUGCGUAGGCGGGGUUUUAAGUCAGGGGUGAAAUGCCGAGGCUCAACUUCGGAACUGCCUUUGAUACUGGAACUCUUGAGUCUGGGAGAGGUGAGUGGAAUUCCGAGUGUAGAGGUGAAAUUCGUAGAUAUUCGGAAGAACACCAGUGGCGAAGGCGGCUCACUGGACUGGUAUUGACGCUGAGGUGACGAAAGCGUGGGGAGCAAACAGG